rnacentral:pre_miRNA from 1 species
UUGAUUUGUCCUAAGUCAAACUUGUUUAGCUUUUACCAAAUUUAUAAAAAAAAUAUAACAACUAUACUAUCAAACAUAUACACUAUCAAAACAUAUUCCAUGGUGGAUUCAACCAAAUAAAUUCGGUAUUAUAAAUGUUGCUAUAUUUUUCUAUAAACUUGGUCAGAAUUGAACAAGUUUGACUUAGAACAAACCAAA